GUUUUCUCUGGGGCCCUGGAGCAGCAGCAGUGGUUUGCUUUUCACUGAAGACACACACACUGUGAACAUAUGAUGGGAAGAUGUCAGGCGGUAGCAGAAGGAAUGGGGCUUCUUGUCCCAUCGAGUGCCUGGGUCCGUGCCUGAAGGUGGUGACAGAUUCCUGCUGCCGGGGGCUGCUGUGUCCUUCCCCUCUGGAGAAAGGCAGCUCAGCUCCCUAUCCUGCCCUUCCACCCCUGCUGCCAACAGGAAUAAUCACACCUGUGCUCACGUGGAUCCAUCUGCUGCUUCAUCCUGCCUCAACCAUGGGAAGCCCCAGAUGUGCUCGUGGAUGGUGUUGGGUGCCCACGAGGGAAGAGGGGAUUUCUCCCUCACCCCAAGGCCAGCUUUUUGAGAUGAGCUCAUGUCCCCUUUGAAGCUCUGAAACAAAUUGCUCUGUUUGUUGCCCUGUUGAAAACUUGGCCAGAAGUCAUUGGCUUUCCUUCUGAAGUACAAUGGUUUAUCAUCUCCAUAUUGCUUUUGUUCUGCUGGCAUAGUUUAGAGAUUUUUUUUAUUAUUCAUAUUUAUGCAUUGCUUCUUGGAAGCCUGUGGGGAGGACAAGAUAGAGAAAUCAUACUUGAAAGAAAAAGCUGUCAAGCUUAAUCUGCUGCAUUUCUCAUUUUCUGGAAUGGUGGGAAGAAAUCUUUGCGAGGCAGUUGUUUGGACAGUCUGAUCCAGCUUUAGAAACCCUGGCACGUUUAUGUUUGACUAUAUAAAAGUGGAUUCCUCAUCUGAUCAGGAAGACAAGAGAAUUUUCCUCUCCACCUCCAAAGAAUGAAAAGUUCCUUCAGGCUCAGUGUUUCUGAGCAGCACUGCAUAAUUAUGCACGGGACACCUGGUGCAUGUGUGUGACAGGCAGGAUGAGCUAGCUGGCUUGCUUUUGAGACAGAGAAUAGCGAGAAUAAAAGGUGAAAUACCUUUUGUACUAAGUGUUUAAUAAUGUCUUUUGUCAAACAAAUUAACACCAGACACCCUCCCCAAAAAUCCAACCUCAGCUAAUGAACAGCUGGAAUAUUACCUGACAUACCACCAAAAUUUUUAGAUAAUUUGUAUUGUUGGUUCUGAAGUAAAAUAAUGAAAAUAAA